AUUGAACGCUGGCGGCAUGCCUUACACAUGCAAGUCGAACGGCAGCGGACCUUCGGGUGCCGGCGAGUGGCGAACGGGUGAGUAAUAUAUCGGAACGUACCUUUCAGUGGGGGAUAACGUAGCGAAAGUUACGCUAAUACCGCAUAUUCUGUGAGCAGGAAAGCAGGGGAUCGCAAGACCCUACGCUGAUUGAGCGGCCGAUAUCAGAUUAGCUAGUUGGUGAGGUAAAGGCUCACCAAGGCGACGAUCUGUAGCGGGUCUGAGAGGAUGAUCCGCCACACUGGAACUGAGACACGGUCCAGACUCCUACGGGAGGCAGCAGUGGGGAAUUUUGGACAAUGGGCGCAAGCCUGAUCCAGCCAUGCCGCGUGAGUGAAGAAGGCCUCGGUUGUAA
rnacentral:rRNA from 1 species